rnacentral:lncRNA from 1 species
CAAUAUGCCUUUAUACUUGAGUCUAGAUAUCUAUAUCUAUAUCUAUAUCUAUAUAUGAAUUCUCAUGCCUAAAUUUUACGUGAAUGUACCCCUUAAUUUAAGGAAAGUGGGGCCCUAAGUCUUUUUUUUUCUUCUCUUAAAAACUACAUUUACUUUAUUUUGAAACUCUUCGCUUCCCGUUGCAUUUACUCAUAUUUACUUUUUUUUUUUU